UGACUGAACAUCAAAGGAGAA
rnacentral:piRNA from 1 species